rnacentral:sRNA from 1 species
AGUCCAACUAAAUGACUUACUUCAGUU